rnacentral:rRNA from 1 species
AGUGAACGCUGGCGGUAGGCCUAACACAUGCAAGUCGAACGGCAGCACAGUAAGAGCUUGCUCUUACGGGUGGCGAGUGGCGGACGGGUGAGGAAUACAUCGGAAUCUACUUUUUCGUGGGGGAUAACGUAGGGAAACUUACGCUAAUACCGCAUACGACCUACGGGUGAAGGCAGGGGAUCUUCGGACCUUGCGCGAUUGAAUGAGCCGAUGUCGGAUUAGCUAGUUGGCGGGGUAAAGGCCCACCAAGGCGACGAUCCGUAGCUGGUCUGAGAGGAUGAUCAGCCACACUGGAACUGAGACACGGUCCAGACUCCUACGGGAGGCAGCAGUGGGGAAUAUUGGACAAGGGGCGCAAGCCUGAUCCAGCCAUACCGCGUGGGUGAAGAAGGCCUUCGGGUUGUAAAGCCCUUUUGUUGGGAAAGAAAAGCAGCAGGUUAAUACCCCGCUGUUCUGACGGUACCCAAAGAAUAAGCACCGGCUAACUUCGUG